GAGAGCCGUGUGCAUUGAAAGAUGCAAGCACGGUUCGGGGGAGAGUAGAUGCGACCUAUGAUGCUUGGGUUGAAACCCUUAAAGGCACUAAGGGUGUGGCUACUUAUCCUAC
rnacentral:ncRNA from 1 species